GAGCCAGACAUGAUGUAGGCAGCCAGAGGAGUAAGAGGUCUGGACCCUUUUCUCCGGCGGCAACAUCUGCAAGGAGCAUUCCUGUGGCUGGCAAUGAUCUUCCUGUUUGCUGUGGCAAUUGUCAACCUGACUGUCACCUGGAAAAACAAGUUUUGUGUUCUACUAUGCUGGUUCCUGGUUAUCCAGAAGUCCACAGUCGUCCGGGUUCUAUGUGUGGAGGGAAGACCUUGCAGAAAGUGUUCUCUAUGCUCUCUGUAGCUCAGGAACAUACAGUUCAGUUUUGCUUUCCUGUCA